rnacentral:lncRNA from 1 species
UGUACAGGACCAAAGGCUAGUCAAGUAAUUUCAAUAGGUCUUGGAAGAACAAUGAAAAGCAAAAGAAUUCCAAGCAUCUGAAGAAAACUGCUCCUGAAGUUGAAGUGCUUCUGAAGUGAUGACGUCAUCAGAAGCAGAAGGUCAUCAGAAGCAAGGUUUUCAUCAGAAGCGAUAUCAUCACCAGAAGCUACAUUUAAUCCAUAUAUUCAAACUGAAGAUCCAAAGUAGUUGUUUCUCAUUUCAACCUUAUCUAAGAAGAACGAAGAAUUGAAAGGGAGGUAUCAACGGUCAUUUGGAUAGCACUGAGCAUUUGUCCUUCGUUAACAGAGUUGACAAAGUACAAGUGUACAACCACUACCUCCACCACUCUGUUUUGUCCACGCUACAAGACAAGACAACAGCUAUGUCUGCAGAAUUUGUGCCUUCAAGAUGGGAAUGAAUUUGAAGCUUAUUCUUCAAAGGACUACACCCAAAUCAGGCAAAGGAUUACUGGUGGAUGAUCAAAGGAUUUCAAACGACUCUUUAGACGUGAUGAUUAUCUCAACGUCUCUUUCACGCCUCUAUAUAAAGGAGUGAAGACUUGAAGAUAAAAGAGAGACAUACACAAGUUAAAAAGCGCCAAAACUCUGUCAAGUUGAUUCUACAAAGCACACUGAAUUUCUGCACUGAUUUGAUACAUCUUAGAAAUUCAAAGUCUAGAGUCUUUAUUGUAUUGUAUUGUGAACACCACUGAUUGUAUAUCAAGUGUUCAAGUCAAACUCAAUUCUCUGUAUUUUUGUUUGAUCAGAAGUCUCUUGCCUGCGUGCUUGAGCAUUAGAAGUCUCUUGCUUAGUGCUUGAGCAUUGGAAGACUCUUGCGUGUGUGCUUGAGCAUUUUUGUGAAGUCUCAUACUUAGAAAGUAUUGAGCAUUUGUAAUUUUUGUGAUUAUAGUGAAAUCUCCUUGGUAGUGCAAGGGGGACUGGACUACUUCCGUGUUGUGGAAGGAACCAGGAUAACUGCUUGUGUCUUUGUCUUUCUUUUCUCUGCUCUGUUCUUUUCCGCUGCAUAUCUAAUUCUGAUCAUUUCAUCAGAAGCACUCACAAACUGCUUCUGAAGGUUUAUCAGAAGAAGAUUUUUUAGAGAGAAAAAGAAAACACAAUUCAACCCCCCCUUCUUGUGUUUUUCACACCUUCAAUUGGUAUCAGAGCUUGCUCUGUUAUCACAGCACUUAACCGUGUUACAGUUCAAGAUCUAUUAGAAAAACAUGUCUGGAGGAGAGGAAUCAGUUACUACAAAAUACACAAGUGUCAAGCAUGACUAUGAUACUGCUGACAAGAAAACAGACUCUGGAAAAGCUCCAAAGUUUAAUGGAGAUCCAGAAGAGUUUUCAUGGUGGAAAACAAAUAUGUACAGCUUUAUCAUGGGAUUGGAUGAAGAGCUAUGGGAUAUACUGGAAGAUGGAGUUGAUGAUCUGGAUUUAGAUGAAGAAAGAGCUGCUAUAGACAGAAGAAUACAUACUCCUGCUCAGAAGAAGCUUUAUAAGAAACACCACAAGAUAAGAGGAAUCAUUGUGGCUUCUAUACCUCGCACCGAAUAUAUGAAGAUGAGUGACAAAUCUACUGCGAAGGCUAUGUUUGCUUCACUAUGUGCAAACUUUGAAGGCAGCAAGAAGGUGAAAGAGGCUAAAGCUUUGAUGCUAGUUCAUCAGUAUGAACUUUUCAGAAUGAAGGAUGAUGAGAGUAUAGAAGAAAUGUACUCAAGAUUUCAAACUUUAGUUUCUGGAUUGCAAAUACUGAAGAAAAGCUAUGUUGCUUCUGAUCAUGUUAGUAAGAUUUUGAGAAGCUUGCCUUCAAGAUGGAGACCCAAAGUAACUGCUAUUGAGGAAGCUAAGGAUCUAAAUACUUUAAGUGUUGAAGAUCUUGUUAGCUCACUCAAAGUGCAUGAAAUGAGUUUAAAUGAGCAUGAAACCUCUAAGAAGAGUAAAUCCAUUGCUUUACCAUCUAAAGGAAAGACUUCAAAAUCUUCCAAAGCCUACAAAGCCAGUGAAUCUGAAGAAGAAUCACCUGAUGGAGAUUCUGAUGAAGAUCAAUCUGUAAAGAUGGCUAUGUUGUCCAACAAGCUUGAGUAUCUGGCAAGGAAGCAGAAGAAAUUUUUGAGCAAGAGAGGUAGCUACAAGAACUCCAAGAAAGAAGAUCAGAAGGGAUGCUUCAAUUGUAAGAAGCCUGGUCAUUUCAUUGCUGAUUGCCCUGAUCUUCAGAAGGAGAAGUUUAAAGGCAAAUCUAAGAAAUCAAGCUUCAGCUCCAGUAAAUUCAGAAAGCAAAUCAAAAAGAGCUUGAUGGCGAUCUGGGAAGAUUUGGAUAGUGAAUCUGGUUCUGAUAAAGAAGAAGCAGAUGAUGAUGCUAAGGCAGCCAUGGGGUUAGUGACAACAGUAUCAUCAGAAGCAGUAUCAGAAGCUGAAUCAGAUUCAGAAGAUGAAAAUGAGGUAUAUUCCAAAAUUCCUAGACAAGAACUUGUUGAUUCUCUAAAAGAACUUUUAUCACUGUUUGAACACAGAACCAAUGAGUUGACAGAUUUAAAAGGAAAAUAUGUUGAUUUGAUGAAACAACAAAAGACAACUCUAUUGGAACUGAAAGCUUCUGAAGAAGAACUCAAAGGGUUUAAACUCAUAUCAACAACAUAUGAAGAUAGACUCAAGAUUCUUUGUCAGAAGCUACAAGAAAAAUGUGAUAAAGGUUCAGGCAAUAAACAUGAGAUUGCCUUGGAUAAUUUUAUUAUGGCUGGAAUAGACAGAAGCAAAGUUGCUUCUAUGAUCUACAGCACAUACAAGAACAAUGGCAAAGGGAUUGGAUAUUCUGAGGAGAAAUCCAAAGAAUAUAGUCUCAAGAGCUACUGUGAUUGUAUCAAGGAUGGAUUGAAAUCCACCUUUGUGCCUGAAGGUACAAAUGCUGUAACUGCUGUUCAGUCAGAACCUGAAGCUUCUGGUUCACAGGCUAAGAUCACAUCAAAGCCAGAAAAUCUCAAGUCCAAGGUUAUGACAAAAUCUGAUCCUAAGAGUCAAAGGAUUAAAAUUCUGAAAAGAUCAGAACCUGUUCCUCAGAGUCUGAUUAAACCAGAAUCUAAAAUCCCAAAGCAAAAGGAUCAGAAGAAUAAAGCAGUUACUGCUUCUGAGAAAACAAUACUAAAAGGUGUCAAACCUAAAGUAUUGAAUGAUCAGAAGCCUCUCAGCAUUCACCCUAAGGUACAAGGGAGGAAAAGUAAAGCCUCCAGAACUAACCCAAAAGGACCCAUGAAGAUAUGGGUACCUAAAUCCGAAUUGGUUAAAAAUGCAGGUGUGUCUAAGGGCAAGAGAGAAACAAAGGUCAUGGUACCUAGACAACGGAUGUUCAAGGCACAUGACUGGAGAGAAAGCUUUGUUCCUUACCCUUACAAUGAAAGAUGGAGGAGAAGUGAAGUUUGGUGGCAACCAGACUGGAAAAAUCAUUGGUACAUGUACUAUUGGUAAUUCCUCCAUCUCAAUUAAUAAUGUGUGGCUUGUAGAUGGUCUGAAGCAUAACCUAUUGAGCAUUAGUCAAUUUUGUGACAAUGGGUAUGAUGUAAUGUUCAGUAAGACCAACUGCACACUAGUCAACAAGGGUGACAAAUCCAUUACAUUCAAGGGAAAGAGAGUUGAAAAUGUCUAUAAAAUAAAUUUCUCUGAUCUGGCUGAUCAUAAGGUAGUUUGCCUUCUGUCAAUGAAUGAUAAAAAAUGGGUAUGGCAUAAAAGGUUGGGACAUGCUAAUUGGAGAUUAAUUUCUAAAAUUAGCAAGUUACAACUGGUCAAAGGAUUGCCUAACAUUGAUUAUCAUUCAGAUGCACUUUGUGGUGCAUGUCAGAAAGGGAAAAUUGUGAAAAGUACUUUCAAAUCUAAAGACAUUGUAUCAACCUCCAGACCCUUAGAAUUACUCCAUAUUGAUCUUUUUGGUCUAGUUAAUACUGCAUCUUUAUAUGGAAGUAAAUAUGGAUUAGUCAUUGUUGAUGAUUACAGCAGAUGGACUUGGGUAAAAUUCAUUAAAAGUAAAGACUAUGCAUGUGAAGUGUUUAGCAGUUUCUGCACUCAAAUACAAUCUGAAAAAGAAUUGAAAAUUUUGAAAGUCAGAAGUGAUCAUGGUGGAGAAUUUGAAAAUGAGCCAUUUGAACUUUUUUGAUUCUCCAUGAAUUUUCUUCUCCUAGAACUCCACAACAAAAUAGGGUUGUAGAGAGAAAGAACAGAACCUUACAAGAAAUGGCCAGAACCAUGAUCCAUGAAAACAAUUUAGCUAAACAUUUCUGGGCAGAAGCAGUUAAUACUUCAUGUUAUAUUCAAAAUAGGAUCUAUAUCAGACCUAUGUUGGAGAAAACAGCAUAUGAACUCUUUAAAGGAAGAAGACCCAAUAUCUCUUACUUUCAUCAGUUUGGAUGUACUUGUUACAUCUUAAACACUAAAGACUAUCUGAAGAAAUUUGAUGCCAAGGCUCAAAGAGGAAUCUUUUUAGGUUACUCUGAAAGGUCAAAGGCGUACAGAGUGUAUAAUUCAGAAACACAUUGUGUUGAAGAAUCUAUGCACGUAAAAUUUGAUGAUAGAGAGCCUGGAAGUAAAACUCCAGAGCAAAGUGAAAGUAAUGCAGGUACAACUGAUUCUGAAGAUGCAUCAGAAUCUGAUCAACCUUCUGAUUCUGAAAAGUAUUCAGAAGUUGAAUCUAGUCCAGAAGCUGAAAUCACUCCAGAAGCUGAGUCUAAUUCAGAAGCAGAACCUAGUCCAGUAGUACAGAAUGAAAAUGCUUCUGAGGAUAUUCAAGAUAACACUCAGCAGGUUAUUCAACCUAAAUUCAAGCACAAAUCUUCACACCCUGAAGAGCUAAUCAUUGGAAGCAAAUAUAGUCCUAGAAGAACAAGAUCACAUUUCAGACAAGAAGAGUCAUUAAUAGGAUUGCUUUCAAUAAUUGAGCCUAAAACUGUUGAAGAAGCUCUCUCAGAUGAUGGAUGGAUAUUAGUUAUGCAAGAAGAGGUAAAUCAGUUUCAAAGGAAUGAUGUGUGGGAUCUAGUACCCAAACCUUUUCAGAAGAACAUUAUUGGAACAAAAUGGGUAUUCAGAAACAAGCUGAAUGAACAAGGAGAAGUAACCAGAAACAAAGCCAGACUUGUUGCUCAAGGUUACAGUCAACAAGAAGGCAUUGAUUACACUGAAACAUUUGCUCCAGUUGCAAGAUUGGAAGCAAUCAGGUUACUUCUAUCCUAUGCAAUUAAUCAUGGCAUAAUAUUGUAUCAAAUGGAUGUCAAAAGUGCUUUUCUUAAUGGUGUCAUUGAAGAAGAAGUAUAUGUCAAACAACCUCCUGGGUUUGAGGAUCUUAAGCAUCUUGACCAUGUCUAUAAACUUAAGAAAUCACUAUAUGGCUUGAAACAAGCUCCCAGAGCUUGGUAUGAUAGACUAAGUAAUUUCUUAAUUAAAAAUGAUUUUGAAAGAGGACAAGUUGACACAACACUCUUCAGAAGGACUCUUAAGAAGGACAUUUUGAUUGUACAAAUAUAUGUUGAUGAUAUAAUAUUUGGUUCUACUAAUGCAUCUCUUUGCAAAGAAUUUUCUAAGUUAAUGCAGGAUGAAUUUGAAAUGAGUAUGAUGGAAGAAUUGAAGUUCUUUCUUGGAAUUCAAAUCAACCAAAGUAAAGAAGGAGUAUAUGUUCAUCAAACAAAAUAUACAAAGGAGCUUCUGAAGAAGUUCAAGCUAGAAGAUUGUAAAGUGAUGAAAACUCCAAUGCAUCCAACCUGCACCUUAAGCAAAGAAGAUACUGGAACAGUAGUAAACCAGAAGCUAUACAGAGGUAUGAUUGGUUCUCUGUUAUACCUCACUGCAUCUAGACCUGAUAUUUUAUUCAGUGUAUGCUUGUGUGCAAGAUUUCAAUCAGAUCCUAGAGAAUCUCAUUUAACUGCAGUUAAGAGAAUCUUCAGGUAUCUGAAAGGAACAACUAAUCUUGGACUCCUGUAUAGGAAAUCCCUAGAUUAUAAGUUGAUUGGAUUCUGUGAUGCUGAUUAUGCUGGUGACAGGAUUGAAAGAAAAUCAACCAGUGGAAAUUGUCAAUUCCUGGGAGAGAAUCUGAUAUCCUGGGCAAGCAAAAGACAAGCAACUAUUGCUAUGUCUACAACAGAAGCAGAAUACAUUUCAGCUGCAAGUUGUUGCACACAACUACUUUGGAUGAAACAUCAGUUGGAAGACUAUCAGAUUAAUGCUAACAGUAUUCCCAUCUUUUGUGAUAAUAUUGCUGCUAUUUGUUUGUCAAAGAAUCCAAUUCUACAUUCAAGAGCCAAGCAUAUUGAGAUCAAACACCAUUUUAUCAGAGACUAUGUUCAAAAAGGGAUUUUAGAUAUACAAUUCAUUGAUACUGAACAUCAAUGGGCUGAUAUAUUUACAAAACCUUUAUCUGUUGAAAGAUUUGAUUUUAUUAAGAAAAAUUUGAACAUGCAUUUUGUGUCUGAUUGAAAAAUUGCUUGCCUCUGAAUAAGAAGUUUGGUUCUGAAGUCUAUUCAUAAGCAUUUAGUCCAUCAGAAGCUCUUAACUGAGGUUCUGAGGAAAAUGUGCUUCUGAAGAUGACGUCAGCACUAAGACUUCAGAAGCGCUAUUCUUUGCUUCUGAAUAGCAAGGCUAGUGGGAACGUUGGCAGUUACUCUUGGUAACAGCUGUCCCAUUACCCAAAAGUUAGUUUUCUGAAAAGUCUCUGACGUGGUCUAUUUGUAUUGGAGUAUAACAAAAAGGGCAAUGAUGUUUUAUUUGCUUUUAAACAUACUAACACGCGCCCCCAAUUUGUCAUUAAUGCUAUGUUUGUUUGUCUCUUUUGAAUUGCAAACGUUUUACUUAAAAACACUAAGUCAAUUCACACACUACUCACUUCACAACAAACACUUUCAUUUCUUUUCUAAACCUUCGUUGCUAAGAAACUUCAAAACCCUAGAACCCUCUUCAAUCUUCAAUCAAUCAAUGGAAAGUUCAAGUUAUGCUCUAGGUUCAUCUUCAAACAUGGAAAUAGAUACUCCUGCGUAUGAGAUAAAAGGAAGAACCAUGUCUAUUGAAGAAUGGGAGUUAAUCAUUCAAGCAGAAAACUCAGUGGAUUUCGCCUCCUUAACCCACCAUGGAUGCGACCUGGUAAGGUUCUACAAGAAACAAAAGUUAAUGGGUUAUUUCAGUCUUCUCAAUGGUCCAACGUAUGAAGUUCUGGUCAGACAAUUCUGGGUAAGGGCUUCAAUCUUUGACAUUGAUGCUGCUAGACAGGAAGAAGCUCAAUUGAUUCUGGUUGAUCCUACUCUGAAGGGAAAAACCAGAGAAGAAAUGGGUCUACUCUCCUUCACUGGUACAGAGAUAAGAUCAAAUGUCAUGGGUAUUCCUGUAACCAUAAAUGAGCAGAUUAUUGCUCAAGCCAUGGGAAGGGAUACCUCUGGCAAGUACUUUGGAGAAGAGAUUCCUAAUCCAAGAACCAGCCCCUGGAAGGAAAUUGUUAAUAACACCAUCUAUGGAUCUAAGGAUGUUAAACCUUACAGCACCUUGAGCAUUGAGAAGAAGUUGCUGCUGAAAAUCCAAAAUGAGAACAUCUUUCCCAAAGGUGGAGGAAGUGAUCAACCUUCACUUGGACACAAGGUUUUCCUGCAUCACACCAUCACUCAAGAGACCGCGAUGAAUGUUCCUAAGUACAUGUUCAAGUACAUGAUCAAGGAACUAAAGAAGAGUCAGAUGGAGAACAGGAAGUUUGUUCCUUAUGGAAGGCUGCUCUCUGUAAUUUUUCAAGAAGGAGGAAUACUAAGUGCCUUGAAGGAUGUUGGCAUUUAUGAUAACCAGAAGUUGCGAGCAGUCACUGGAAAGAUAAUCAAUGGAUCAACUCUUGUGAAGAUGAAAUUGAUUCCAACAAAUGCUCACAAGAAACUAGAUUCUGAUAUGCAUGAAUCUGAUGUCAUAUCUGAUCUAGUCACUCAUCACAUCCCUAUCUGCAAGAAGAAUCCCCUGGAUGUGCAAAGGACUUACAUCAUGGACUUCUACAAAUCUUACAAGAAGAAGAUUGACUUGAAAGAUGUCCCUGAGGAGAUGUAUGGUGGUGCUUUGCCUGUGGCCAAAGGCAGAAAGUCCAAGAAAAAGCAGAUCACCAAGGAGGAGUAUCUUGCUGAUGAUGCUACUGAGAAGGGUGCUCAGAAGCAUCAAAAAGCUAAGAAGGAAAAAUCAGCAAUGUCCAUGAUGAGUCAUUUAUAUGCUAUUUUAAUAUGCUUUUUAGUUUAGUUUUAUUUAGAUUUUAUAUAAUUUUAUAUUAGUAUUAUUUCCUUUUUAGGAUAGUUUACUUUAAAUUGCAAUUUAUUAUAUUUCAGGGAAGAAUAUUGGAUGGAUUGAGUCUUGGAGCAAAAGAAAGGGAUUUGGAGCAGAUUGGACACGAAAAUACAAAGAUUGGGAAACAAAAUAUAUCUCCCACAAGUCAGAAGCCUGGCACGGCCCGUGCUAGCCUUGGCACGGCCGUGCCACCCUCCAGAGACCUUUUGCUGCUUUUGCUUGGACUCCAAGCUAUUCUAUUUUGGCGCACAAUCUACCGAGGAAUAUUCUUGGAAUAUACUUGCUUAGAUUUUAAGUCAAUUGUGUACUAUAAAUAGAGUAGCUAGCCAUCACAAAUAUUCAUCUUUUCUUGGAAUGCAAUAUGUGACAAUUGUUUUCUAAUAAAAGUUCAUUUACUUUAUUGUUAUUUACUUUUAUGCUUUCUCUCUUCUUCUCCUUGUCUACGAUGAACGUCAGUGAGUAGACUUCUCUUGUCUUGGGAUUGUUGGAUAAGUCUAAUGACAUAAUCCUAAUCAAACCAAGCUUUAAACCUUAAUCUUAUGUAACCCUAAUUCCUUAUCUAAAUUCACCGCUUUAACAUGGAUCAACCAUUAUCAAACUGUGGAAACGAAAGUGGAGGGUUUGAUAAUUGUUUAUCCAUCAUCUCAAAUAUCAAUUCAUAAAACGAAAGUGGAGUUUUGAUAUUUGAACAAGUGAAUUUAGACAGAGAUUGCAAAGUCAGCGAAAUAGGCUUUGCAAUCUUUGAGACAUAUAGUUUCGAUCUUCAAGGGAACUAAUAAUGAUCAAGUCAGCGAAAUAGGCUUGGUCGUUAAAGGAACCAAAAUCUAAUAGUAAUCAAGUCAGCGAAAUAGGCUUGGUUGCUAGAGGAACAAAAGAGAAACUGUCUUGAGAAAUUAGGUCUAACAUAAGGUUAUAAGUUUAAUAGUUUGGUUUGUGAAGGACUUGUCAUUAGGAUGAACCAAUGAUUCCAAGGCUUUUAUCUUUUCUUUUAUUUUCUUAUAAUUAAAAAUCCAAACUUUUAACCUUUGAAACUUUCAUCUAAUCAUUAUUAAAAGUUAAUUGAAUUCAUAACUCCCUGUCGGAACGAUACUCAUAUUUUACUACUUCGGUAAGACCGUGCACUUGCGGUUUUAUCCCAUCAGUCCACUAUUCAAGAGGAAGUGGAGGACUUGGAUGAAGUCCCACUUAUCAGGAAAAGGAAAAGGAAAACAUUAAAUGUCCACUAUUCAAGAGGAGUGCUCAAGAAUCAGCAAUGUCAACUAUACUACUGACUUUUCUCAACCUAACUUUGUGAAUGAGAAUUUAGACCGGUUUUGCUUUGCAAUAGAUCGGUUUUAUGUAAUUUUACUUGACAUAGAAACAUAAAAAUUAAAUAUGUAAUUUUACUUGAGUACGUCAUGUAGUAAAAUUUGGAAGCUUUAGGUUCAGGAAAACAUUAAAUACUUCUUAUAGCUUGUGUUACAUGAUAGAUUGAUCACAAAUUACCAAAAUCAUGUUAUGAAGAUUUGUAAUCCUUGGUGUAGUAACUAGUAAGUGUGAGGUUGAUCCAAAAACUACUUUACAUUGUCUUGAUAGGAUGUCCAUACGCGAUGGUUUUGUGGCUCAAUGAUGAUGUCCCAAUGGAAGAUAGUAUUGAUUUCUUUGUUGGUAAUGUGAUGCAAAGGGUAGAAUUAAAUUGAUCAAAGCCAACUAGGAGUGUAUUAUAGUUAGAUCGAAAAGAAUUUUGAGCAGUCAUGUGUUGUGAGAUCUUCAAAGUCGUGGAUUGAUGUGCAACUUCAUAGAUAAGUAUUAACAAUUAUUAGUGAGUCAAAUCAAAACAAUGGGCUGCAUGAGAUUCCAACUCACCUUUGGAUGAGUUGAGUUAUACCGUGAGUCAAACUAUUGUUUUGACGUUCGUAUUAUUAUUUUUUUAAAUGUUGAUGUUCUUGUAUAUAUCUUAAGUUCUGUCAUGUUUGUAUAUUUCUAGGUAUUUUAUUUUUGUUGGUUUUGGGGUUUAUAUCCUGUUUGUAAAAAAAUGGUUUCAAUUGUUUUAAGAGUUAUAUAUAUAUAUAUAUAUGCUGACAUGGUGUGGUUGAGGCAAGUUUCGUUGAAGGUUUCAGUGUUCGUUUGACGACUCCUUCGCAACCGACUUUCCAUAAAGGAUAAUCUAAUGCGUCAGAGAGUACUUCAUCAUGACAAUACAGCUUGUGUUGGAGGGUGUGGCAGGCAGGAGACGGCAGUUCACUUCCUUCUCAGAUCCGACAUUUUUGGUAGCAUAUGACACCUUAUUUACGUUGGGUUGGUAUUUCUUUCAUUUCUCCACAGGCGGUGGCUGGCCACCUCCAUCAUUUCGGUCAGUUAGCAGGUUUACCACGAUUUACUUAAACCUUCCUCAAAGUUAUUUGGCACACUUCUGUAUGGGUUCUUUGGAAGGAAAAAAACAACACGAUUUUCAAUAGUAAAAUAUAAGAUGUGGUUCAGUUAUUAUAAACCGUCAAGUUUAAGUCUUUUUCUUGGUUAAAGGCUAAGUCUCUCACUUCUGCUUUCAGUUAUACUGACCGGUGGCGGCACCCUUUGUUGGAACAAAAUGUGUUUCACAAUGAACCUUAUUGAGUUUUGAUGAUAACAAGGUAUUAAAAAUUGUCAAUUGGUUAUUACUAAUUAUUGUUCAAGUGUACAGGACCAAAGGCUAGUCAAGUAAUUUCAAUAGGUCUUGGAAGAACAAUGAAAAGCAAAAGAAUUCCAAGCAUCUGAAGAAAACUGCUCCUGAAGUUGAAGUGCUUCUGAAGUGAUGACGUCAUCAGAAGCAGAAGGUCAUCAGAAGCAAGGUUUUCAUCAGAAGCGAUAUCAUCACCAGAAGCUACAUUUAAUCCAUAUAUUCAAACUGAAGAUCCAAAGUAGUUGUUUCUCAUUUCAACCUUAUCUAAGAAGAACGAAGAAUUGAAAGGGAGGUAUCAACGGUCAUUUGGAUAGCACUGAGCAUUUGUCCUUCGUUAACAGAGUUGACAAAGUACAAGUGUACAACCACUACCUCCACUACUCUGUUUUGUCCACGCUACAAGACAAGACAACAGCUAUGUCUGCAGAAUUUGUGCCUUCAAGAUGGGAAUGAAUUUGAAGCUUAUUCUUCAAAGGACUACACCCAAAUCAGGCAAAGGAUUACUGGUGGAUGAUCAAAGGAUUUCAAACGACUCUUUAGACGUGCUGAUUAUCUCAACGUCUCUUUCACGCCUCUAUAUAAAGGAGUGAAGACUUG